UGGCGAACGGGUGAGUAAUACAUCGGAACGUGCCCAGUCGUGGGGGGAUAACUACUCGAAAGAGUAGCUAAUACCGCAUACGAUCUGAGGAUGAAAGCGGGGGACCUUCGGGCCUCGCGCGAUUGGAGCGGCCGAUGGCAGAUUAGGUAGUUGGUGGGAUAAAAGCUUACCAAGCCGACGAUCUGUANCUGGUCUGAGAGGACGACCAGCCACACUGGGACUGAGACACGGCCCAGACUCCUACGGGAGGCAGCAGUU
rnacentral:rRNA from 1 species